UACGUAGGGGGCGAGCGUUGUCCGGAUUUAUUGGGCGUAAAGAGCUCGUAGGCGGUUUGGCAAGUCGGGUGUGAAAACUCCGGGCUCAACUCGGAGACGCCACUCGAUACUGCUAUGACUCGAGUCCGGUAGGGGAGUGCGGAAUUCCUGGUGUAGCGGUGAAAUGCGUAGAGAUCGGGAGGAACACCCGUGGCGAAGGCGGCCAUCUGGACCAGCACUGACGCUGAGGCACGAAAGCGUGGGGAGCAAACAGG
rnacentral:rRNA from 1 species